UACAGAGGUCUCAAGCGUUGUUCGGAUUCAUUGGGCGUAAAGGGUGCGUAGGCGGCGCGGUAAGUCGGGUGUGAAAUCUCGGGGCUUAACUCCGAAACUGCAUUCGAUACUACCGUGCUUGAGGACUGGAGAGGAGACUGGAAUUUACGGUGUAGCGGUGAAAUGCGUAGAUAUCGUAAGGAAGACCAGUGGCGAAGGCGGGUCUCUGGACGGUGACUGACGCUGAGACGCGAAAGCGUGGGGAGCAAACAGG
rnacentral:rRNA from 1 species